rnacentral:rRNA from 1 species
CGCAAGCCUGACGGAGCAACGCCGCGUGAGGGAUGAAGGCCUCUGGGCUGUAAACCUCUUUUAUCAAGGAAGAAGAUUCUGACGGUACUUGAUGAAUAAGCCACGGCUAAUUCCGUGCCAGCAGCCGCGGUAAUACGGGAGUGGCAAGCGUAAUCCGGAAUGAUUGGGCGUAAAGCGUCCGCAGGCGGUCUUGAAAGUCUGUUGUUAAGGCGUGGAGCUCAACUCCACUUCAGCAAUGGAAACUAAAGAACUAGAGUGUGGUAGGGGCAGAGGGAAUUCCCGGUGUAGCGGUGAAAUGCGUAGAUAUCGGGAAGAACACCAGUGGCGAAGGCGCUCUGCUGGGCCAUAACUGACGCUCAUGGACGAAAGCCAGGGGAGC